rnacentral:rRNA from 1 species
UACAGAGGGUGCAAGCGUUAAUCGGAAUUACUGGGCGUAAAGCGCGCGUAGGUGGUCUGUUAAGUUGGAUGUGAAAUCCCCGGGCUCAACCUGGGAACUGCAUUCAAAACUGACAAGCUAGAGUAUGGUAGAGGGUGGUGGAAUUUCCUGUGUAGCGGUGAAAUGCGUAGAUAUAGGAAGGAACACCAGUGGCGAAGGCGACCACCUGGACUGAUACUGACACUGAGGUGCGAAAGCGUGGGGAGCAAACAGG